GGGUCAAACUGUAGAACUCAGUUCCUACAUUUGAAUAUGAAAAUUGAUUUUAUCAAACAAAACUACGCUACAUGUUAUCUCUGGGACCCUCAGUAAUCCAAAUCAGAGCAAGAUAACUGAAUGUAAGUACAUUAUUUACCUUCAGAGGUGAAUGUACCAAACCAGUUGCCAUGACAAAAGCAUGUUGUUGUUGUGCACUAUCCUCAAACAAUAGCAUGGUAUUUUUUCGCUGUAAUAGCUACUGUAAAAUGGAAACUGCAGUUAGAUUAACAAUAACAAUAAGUAUCAUUUAAAAGUAUGCAUUAAGGUGUCUGUAAUAGAAUAGACAUGGCCAAAACUAAAGUAGACAUUUAUAAAUGCAUUUCUAUAGCUUCCAAAAAUAUUUUUUUACCACGAUGUUGGAGUGCCAAGAUGGAGGCACUGUGUCUUCAAAACAGCGCCCCCUGUCAUCUAGUGUUUAUAUAUAAAUCAUUAGUUUAUAGUUAUGAAAUAUUAUGCAAAUAAAGGGGCAGGUAGGUGGCAGUCGGGUUGAAUAAAGAGAAAAGAAUACAUAAACAAAUCUAUAAAUCUAUCAUUGUUGCGCAAUUUAUAUCUAGGUCUAUAGACUACAUUGAGGUUUUUAUUUCAUGUUUUUGGCAUUAGUUACAAAAGCCUAAACUUUAAGGCCUAACUUUACGCGCGCCAAAAAUCCUACACGCCAGAUGUUUUUUGGGAACACACAUCGAACCAAAAAGGACAAAUACCCGGAGUUAAAAAAUUUUAAAAGAAAAGCUGCAUAAUAGAGAGUUGAAAAUACAGAGAAGGGAGGGCCAGAAAAGUCAUGUUUGGGAAAGAUUUGUUCAGAUCGGUUUAAUAGAAAGUGAAAUCUGGACACUAACUGUAGGUUUAUAACUUCUCACAUAGUCUUAAUAUUAACUCCUGCUGAAUUAAGCAGUUCUUCAGUAAAAUGAUACACCAAAUGUAUAUUUUGACUCGGGAACAGGAAGUAGAGAAAUAUGAUUGAUUCAUUUCAGAAUCUUGAGAGAAUGUGAAUGCACAGUCUGUAGAGCAGUGAUCUAUCAGUGUCAUUUAAGCUGAUAGUAUUUCAACUACAAAAGCUGAAAUAAAUCAUAAAUAUGAAAUCUUAUAGGAGAUGUUGUACCCACUGUGACUAUUAAAAUCUACUCUAACCAGAAACCUGGACAGAUGUUAGCAUUCGCGCAAAACUGAAAGUACGAACCACCGCAAGGUAACUGGGAAUAUGGCAGAAUACAAACAGUGUAGUUAUUCCCUCAGAAAAGCAAUCAAACAGGCAAAACAUCAGUAUAGAGACAAAGUGGAGUUGCACUUCAACGGCUCAGACAAUCACGGACUACAAAAGGAAAACCAGCCACGUCGCGGACACCAACGUCUUGCUUUCGGACAAUCUAAACACCUUCUUCGCCCACUUUGAGGAUAACACAGUGCCACCAACGCGGCCCGCUACCAAGGACUGUGGUCUCUCCUUCCCCCGUGGCCAAUGUGAGUAAGACAUUUAAGCGUGUUAACCCUCGCAAGGCUGCCGGCCCAGACGGCAUCCCUAGCCGCUUCCUCAGAGCAUGUUUACUGACAUUUUCAAUCUCUCCCUAUCCCAGUCUGCUGUAUCCACAUGCUUCAAGAAUGGGCCCCAUUGUUCCUGUACCCAAGAAAUCAAAGAUGUUCAGUUAUGGAGUAAAGUCCUUCUCUUCACCAUCAUCCAGAUCUCCAUCUCCUCAACGCUCUCUUACAUCCUGUACAUGGAGAGGAGGCGUUACGGACCAUACUCAGUAAGCCAGACGGGAAAAUACAUUUAAAGGUCUCUCAAUCAAGGUGUUCCCUCGACUCCCAUACUGGUCACUGCUCCCGACUUCAACUGACCAAUAACAGCUGCUUAAGGACUUUAACUGACCAAUCCCAUCUGCAGACAGAUGUCCACCAAUUCCCCUGUUAUGAUAUUAAUGAUUUGUCCACCACAGAUGGUUUGUUUAAGUUUCUACCAUUGUGGCUUUAUGUUAUUGUUUUUGAAUGUGUAGCAUGAAGCUGUGGAAUUGAUAUGGAUGUGAUUCCAUAAUAUUUAAAAACAUAAAUAAAUGUAACCUUUAUUAAUUUUAUAAUGUAAAAUUCUUAUUUACAAUGACGGCCGACCUUAUUAUUUAGUGUUUUACUACAAUGCAGUGCUAAAUAAUGGUUUAAAUUUUCCCCAAAUUACUCAUUUGUUUUGUAUAUUUUUACCGAAAUAAAAUAAUUCAUAUAAAAAUACUGUUCUUCAAAAUGCAUCUAUGAAAUUACCUCCAUCUCGCUCAUCUUCUCUCUGGAUAGUCAGGACAAAGUGUUGUCUCUCUCUAGAACACAAGUGAGACCUGUCCGAGCCAGAACGGCCCGUAAGGGCAGGAGCCUAUCUCCUGUUUCUGAAGCGUGAGACGGCUUGAUGUGCAAGUACACCCCAUGGGCAGGAAUGAUAGAACAACAUGAAAGUUUAGAGAGCAAUGUCAUCAAAUGUCAUCUUAAGACUCCCCAGGAAGUGUUUCUGUAACCCGGUUAUGUAUCUGCUCUGGGAACCAGAUGGAACCUCCUGUGGAAUGGAUGGAACUGAAUGAAACCAUAUGGAACAGUUGACUUCAGUUAAUUUGCAAAUAAAUUCAUUAAAAAUCCUACAAUGUGA